CAAUAGCGUAUAUUAAAGUUGUUGCAGUUAAAAAGCUCGUAGUUGAAUUUUUGCUUGCCGCCGAUGUCGGAACUUCCGUACGUUCGGCGGCGUGCAUCCUUGGGUGGAACCUGUGUGGCAUUAGGUUGUCGUGCAGGGGAUGCUCAUCGUUUACUGUGAAAAAAUUAGAGUGUUCAAAGCAGGCUUACGCCGUUGAAUAUAUUGGCAUGGAAUAAUAAGAUAGGACCUUGGUACUAUUUUGUUGGUUUGCGCACCGAGGUAAUGAUUAACAGGGACAGUUGGGGGUAUUCGUAUUCCAUUGUCAGAGGUGAAAUUCUUGGAUUUCUGGAAGACGAACUACUGCGAAAGCAUUUACCAAGGAUGUUUUCAUUAA
rnacentral:rRNA from 1 species